UACCUGAUCGUCCUCGCCAGCGAUAUGCUCGAAAAAGACACACCCUGCUAUUUCAAGGAUCAACGCGAAGCAAGCGCAUUUCGCUUUACCUCCAUUGCUCCAUCCAGCCUCAAUACGGUUCGUUUAAACUUACACCACUCACAGUGAAGAAGAGAAGAAGGAUGCAACCGGCAAGGAUACUACAGUUUCUAAUUCGGUUUCUAUAUUCCCAACAGAGAACUACGAUCCCAUCACAACGCCAUCAACUCCAGAAUCGGCAUCAAAUAAUGCAAUCGCUUUGCAGUGCAUGAAUGCAGCAGAAGCCAUUACCCCUAACCGCUAAUGUGACGCAAUGUUGAAGUGCAGAGUACAUGUACGAAGCUCAUAUAGUUGUAAGCCAAGGCUUUUUUUCUUGUAAAUGGUUAAAAAUUCUUGUUGUUAAUACUAACUAAAAUAAAGGUAAUUUAAUUACUUUUAUGUUUGUUAUAAAUUCUUUCAAAAAAAUUAACUUUUUUUACAAAAAAAUCCAUGUUUUGUGUAUUGCCUUAUGCGAGUGCAGAGUACAUGUACGAAGCUCACAUAGUUGUAAGCCAAGGCUUUUUUUCUUGUAAAUGGUUAAAAAUUCUUGUUGUUAAUACUAACUAAAAUAAAGGUAAUUUAAUUACUUUUAUGUUUGUUAUAAAUUCUUUCAAAAAAAUUAACUUUUUUUACAAAAAAAUCCAUGUUUUGUGUAUUGCCUUAUGCGAGUGCAGAGUACAUGUACGAAGCUCACAUAGUUGUAAGCCAAGGCUUUUUUUUUGUAAAUGGUUAAAAAUUCUUGUUGUUAAUACUAA